rnacentral:rRNA from 1 species
CCCUUAGAUGUCCGGGGCUGCACGCGCGCUACACUGAAGGAAUCAGCGUGCUAAAACCAUUGUCGAAAGGCAUUGGUAAACCCAUUAAAAUCCUACGUGAUUGGGAUCGGGAAUUGCAAUUAUUUCCCUUGAACGAGGAAUUCCCAGUAAGUGUGGGUCAUAAGCUCGCGUUGAUUACGUCCCUGCCCUUUGUACACACCGCCCGUCGCUGCCCGGGACUGAGCCGUUUCGAGAAAAGCGGGGACUGCUGCUGUCGGGGCUUUCGGGCCUUGACUUCGGUGGAAACCGCUUUAAUCGCAGUGGCUUGAACCGGGCAAAAGUCGUAACA